rnacentral:lncRNA from 1 species
AUAUGAGGCGGCUCGAAAGACAAGUGCUCAGGGUUAAUGCAUCUCUUCUGAUGACACAGAUGAGACACAUCAAAUUCCUCUGAUAGGUCAAAUUUCUCAGUGUGCAACAUGUAUGCAAAUCUGUGACCAUACAAGGUUCUUUUUUUUCUGUCCCAAGGAAACCUAACACUAUACACUGAAUACAGCCUUGUCUGUCCACCCAUUUGACUUAGCAAACACCCGUAAACCCCCAUUUCA